ACCAAUCAUGGCUCAGUCAAUAGAGCCGGACUUUUAAUCUUGGGGUCGUGGGUUUAAGCCCCACUUUGGUU